GACUUAAAAUUCGUUGGCUUUAUAAACCGUGAA
rnacentral:tRNA from 1 species